UAAAGUGACGCAGCGCCAGCGCAGCCACUUCGAUAUAUAUUGCGAGGUAUUUCGUAUUUCAGACCGUUUUGAGCUGUACGCGAAACAGCCCGCCGGCGCCGAUCAAACAGAGUGAAUACAAAAUACGAAGUGAAUACAAGAAACGAAAUAUGGGAGGAAAUAACGACCAAGGCAAAAAAGUUGGUAUUGGAGCAACAGUUGGUGCAGUGGGCGGUACAGCUGCCGGGGUGGUGGCGGGGUCCAUCGGGGGCCCGGCGGGAGCAGCGGCCGGGGGCGUCUUGGGUUGCGAGCUGGGCAUGGCUCUCGGCGGCCUCUUAGGCGCCGCCGCAGGCAGAAAGAAAUGAAAAUUAAAAUAGCGUUAUUCUAGUGCAGGAGAUGAUGGUGGCGAUCAGCAAGCGUACAGAAGCGGUAUCAUGGUCGCAUUUUUAUCACCUGUCAUGCCAUGCGUCACUUUCGCACCUACCUAUUUGUUAGAACGUGACAGAUGCGACAAAUGAUAAAGAGCCGACCAUCUUAGCCCGACAGCACGGAAAUAAUGGUCCCUCUUUUAUCACUUGUCGUGUCAUGCGUCAGUUUCGUACUUACAUAUUAGUGGUUAUAACGUGACAGCCACGGCGACAGUCGAUAAAGGGGCGGUCAUCUUUACCCUUGGACGCACUUUUACGGCACAAUGAUGCGUUGACGGUUGCCGUUUGUCACCAUUAUCUGAAUGCACAGUGCGAGCGAUAACAGACACCGGUUGUCUUUGUCGCGCGCAACUCCUUACUAGCAGUCGCGCUUGACAUAUUAUAACUAUGCUAGGAGGUAUGAGAUGGUCUUCAUUUUAUCUAUUAUUGUGUCUUAUAAAUUAAAAAUUUCAAUGAUUUUGAAU